rnacentral:rRNA from 1 species
UACGUAGGUGGCAAGCGUUGUCCGGAUUUAUUGGGCGUAAAGGGAGCGCAGGCGGUGACUUAAGUCUGAUGUGAAAGCCCACGGCUUAACCGUGGAGGGUCAUUGGAAACUGGUCGACUUGAGUGCAGAAGAGGGAAGUGGAAUUCCAUGUGUAGCGGUGAAAUGCGUAGAGAUAUGGAGGAACACCAGUGGCGAAGGCGGCUUCCUGGUCUGUAACUAACACUGAGGCGCGAAAGCGUGGGGAGCAAACAGGAUUAGAUACCCGGGUAGUCCCU